UCCGCGGCCGCGCAGCCCCAAGGCGGCACCUCCCGGCAGCGCGGCCGCGGUUGGUGCCGCUCCAGAGGGACCGGGCCUCCAGAGAGCUUGGGCAAGAGGAGGCUCGGGGUGACCCCAAGGCUCUCUACAGAUGCUGAAAGGAGGUGAUAGCCAUGGAAGCGUCUUUUCCCGGGCAGCCAGGGGUAGGAGGAGAGGACAUGGCCUCAAGCUGUGCCAGAGAAGGUCUAGGUUGGACAUCUGGAGGAAGUUUUUCACAGAAAGGCUGAUUGGACAUUAGAACGGGCUGCCCCGGACGUGGUGGGGUCACUGUCCCUGGAGGAAAAAAAUUGCACAUUUGAAGGUGGGAGAACCAAAAAUCAUUUUUCAUGCAAGUUUCUUUUCCCCAGAAUUCACAUGCUGAAAUGAUUGUUAAGGUAAUGUUGAAAAUGUUAUUACUGUUACACUUCAAUCUUCCAAAAUGCUUUCUUCAACUGAUAUAUGAAAGUUAUUCCAUUUGACAGCUUGUUAUGUGGCCUAAACAUUGUGCUGUAAUACAUUACAAUGAAUAAAUA